UACGGAGGGUGCGAGCGUUAAUCGGAAUUACUGGGCGUAAAGCGCGCGUAGGCGGCUUCGUCAGUCAGAUGUGAAAGCCCCGGGCUCAACCUGGGAACUGCAUUUGAUACUGCGGAGCUAGAGUAUGGUAGAGGAUAGUGGAAUUCCAGGUGUAGCGGUGAAAUGCGUAGAUAUCUGGAGGAACAUCAGUGGCGAAGGCGACUGUCUGGACCAAUACUGACGCUGAGGUGCGAAAGCGUGGGGAGCAAACAGGAUUAGAUACCCGGGUAGUCC
rnacentral:rRNA from 1 species